rnacentral:tRNA from 1 species
GGGCUGUGGGGUAACCUGGCAUCCUGAUGGGCUCCAGACCCGCAGAUGGGGGUUCAAAUCCCUCCGGCCC